GACGCCAAAGGUAGUGAGUUAUCUCAAUUGAUUGUUCACAGUCAGUUACAGAUCGAACUCCUUGUUCUACUCUUUCCCUGCUUCUCACUACUGCACUAGACUAGUCUUUU
rnacentral:Y_RNA from 1 species